rnacentral:lncRNA from 1 species
AAGCAUCACACUUAUUAAUCAAUAACAUGAUGCAUUUAUAAUGACCAUAAUCGAGAUAAAAUAAAUGGAAAAAAUAAAUACAAAAAUAAAAUUGAAAUUGUAAUGUCAAAAAAAAGAAAUAUAUGUUACAAAAAUUAAAAAUAAAAACAAUUUGGAUGGUUAAAAAAUGAGAAAAGAAUAACAAAAAUAAAGGUUGAAAAAUGAAAAAAAA